rnacentral:rRNA from 1 species
AGAGUUAAACAGUACGUGAAAUUGUUGAAAGGGAAACGAUUGAAGCCAGUCGUACCGGUGGGUAAUCAGCCUUUUGGGCGUGAUUAUGUGGAGCGUGAGGAGCUAAACACCUUCAUGCCUGCGUAUUCGUGCACUUUGGGUGUACUUGCCCGCAUGGUUGGUUAACAUCAAUUUCGGAAAUCAUAAAAUGGUUGGAGGAAUGUAGCUUUGGUCUCGUAUUGAAGUGUUAUAGCCUCUGGCAGAUGUGGUGAUCGGGAUUGAGGAUUGCAACGGAUACCCUUCGGGCUACCUGUCUGAUCUCUGAUCGUUACUCUGGUGCCGAAAGCGUGCUUACGGUCAUCAAAGUUGAUGGUCAACAGGUUAGAAUGGGUUAAAUUCGUUAAGGAUGUUGACGUAAUGGCUUUAAACGACC